AAAAUAAAUAAAAUCUUAAAAUCUCUUUGACAAAUGAUGUGGUGCCAACAUCUAACAUUGUGUGAAAUAACAAAUAUAUUAAAUAGUUUAAAUUAAAUUAAAAGAGUUAAGAUUUUUCACCUCCUACAGCUGUGCAAAGAACAAGAAUGUAAACAACAGAACAAAAUUACCAACAGAACAGGCUAAAUACCCUUUCUCAUAUUCAGUGCUCCUGUAUUUUACAGGUUUUGUGCAAGAAAAACGAGUCCAUCAACUGCCUCAGGCUUCAGGGAUGCCCUGUGACAGUUGACAAUGUUGCCGCUGCAACUGAAAACCCUUUCAGAAGGGGAACUGGUUGCUGGUGCGCGAAGGUACUUUUUUGCCAGGAGGCUCAGUGCUGGAAAAAUAUCGGCAUGCAUCUUCCACCAUUGGAGAGGAUCUGUGUCGUGGUCGAUGAUAGCUGACUGUAAGUAGCUUGUAAGCUCACUUUCAAUCGCCUCCCUCUGUGUCAGCCUGGUGUUGGUGGCUGUGCUCUGCUUGAAGAAGCUGGCCAGUGACUUCUUCUUUGUGGAUGGUGGUGGCAUUCCUGGUUCCUCUGGCACAGGCCCAGCCGGGUCCGGCUUACCGCCGCCCAAAUCAGCCUGCAAGGCCUCCACCUCCAACACAGCUCUGUGUUUCAGUGCCUCAACUCUUUCACCAGGGAUGUAUUGGACCCUGAAACGUAGAUCCGAAAGUGACGCCAUAUCCAGAAGGUCACUUGUGUCUGGGAGACUUGAAUUGAAGAGGUGUAGCACAGGCCUGACGUAGGAGAGGGUGACAUACUCUUCACCGGAGAGAGCGUCUGUGAAGUCAUGAAGUCAGGACUUUCUGGACUGCCUGCAGGACCUCUACGUCCUGCCAGUUAAGGACAUGAUGUCUCGACUUCUUGUCAGCAAACAGGACUUUGGAGAGGGCUGCCUUUUGCUCCAGGACCCUGCUGAUCAUCUGCUGUCUCGAUCCCCAACGUGUGGCUGACUCUGUGAUGAGCUAGUGAGUCGGUAGACCCAGCUGAAUCUGCACCUCAGCCAAUUCUCUCCUCCGUUUCCAGCUAUAGGAAAAGCUGCUGACUAUUUUCUUGCACAGCGCAAUGCACCUUGUGAUGCGGUGAUCAUCCAUGCCAUGUCCUGAAAUAAAAAUGUUAAAAAAUAUUUUAAAUCAUUGACUUUUUUAUUUACCUUUUAAUUUAAACAAUGUCUUAAAAACUUGUUAAGUAGAGUACGCCAUGUUAGUUGUUUAUUUUGUUUGUG
ensembl:lncRNA